rnacentral:rRNA from 1 species
CCUGGCUCAGAAUGAACGCUAGCUACAGGCUUAACACAUGCAAGUCGAGGGGCAGCAUAUCGAAAGCUUGCUUUGAUGAUGGCGACCGGCGCACGGGUGAGUAACGCGUAUCCAACCUUCCCUAUACUAGAGGAUAGCCCGGCGAAAGUCGGAUUAAUACUCUAUGUUGUAUUUAGAAGACAUCUGAAGAAUACCAAAGGUUUACCGGUAUAGGAUGGGGAUGCGUCUGAUUAGGUUGUUGGCGGGGUAACGGCCCACCAAGCCCACGAUCAGUAGGGGUUCUGAGAGGAAGGUCCCCCACAUUGGAACUGAGACACGGUCCAAACUCCUACGGGAGGCAGCAGUGAGGAAUAUUGGUCAAUGGACGAGAGUCUGAACCAGCCAAGUAAGCGUGCAGGAUGACGGCCCUAUGGGUUGUAAACUGCUUUUAUACAGGGAUAAAGUGACGUACGUGUACGUUUUGUAGGUACUGUAUGAAUAAGGACCGGCUAAUUCCGUGCCAGCCGCGGC